AGAUGGGAGCUUGCUCCCUGAUGUUAGCGGCGGACGGGUGAGUAACACGUGGGUAACCUGCCUGUAAGACUGGGAUAACUCCGGGAAACCGGGGCUAAUACCGGAUGGUUGUUUGAACCGCAUGGUUCAAACAUAAAAGGUGGCUUCGGCUACCACUUACAGAUGGACCCGCGGCGCAUUAGCUAGUUGGUGAGGUAACGGCUCACCAAGGCAACGAUGCGUAGCCGACCUGAGAGGGUGAUCGGCCACACUGGGACUGAGACACGGCCCAGACUCCUACGGGAGGCAGCAGUAGGGAAUCUUCCGCAAUGGACGAAAGUCUGACGGAGCAACGCCGCGUGAGUGAUGAAGGUUUUCGGAUCGUAAAGCUCUGUUGUUAGGGAAGAACAAGUACCGUUCGAAUAGGGCGGUACCUUGACGGUACCUAACCAGAAAGCCACGGCUAACUACGUGCCAGCAGCCGCGGUAAUACGUAGGUGGCAAGCGUUGUCCGGAAUUAUUGGGCGUAAAGGGCUCGCAGGCGGUUUCUUAAGUCUGAUGUGAAAGCCCCCGGCUCAACCGGGGAGGGUCAUUGGAAACUGGGGAACUUGAGUGCAGAAGAGGAGAGUGGAAUUCCACGUGUAGCGGUGAAAUGCGUAGAGAUGUGGAGGAACACCAGUGGCGAAGGCGACUCUCUGGUCUG
rnacentral:rRNA from 1 species